ensembl:lncRNA
GGGAGGGAAGGGGAGACUGAAAUCUAACACCUCAUCACUCCCACCACCCAACUACUGCGACCAGAAAUCUUGCUUUGGGCCGUAUGAUUAGAGCGGAUUGACUCCUUCGGACGGACAAACUCGUCCAGGUAAUUGCACCUUUGAAACUGAGAUCUGAAGAGGAAUGUGAGGUCAAUCCAUGCAAGACCUAAGCAGACGGUAAUAAGAAGGAAUCGCAGAAAAUCUCGUGAUGUGAAAGAGGAGCACUGUGAAGUUUUUGAAGUUCAUGGGAAAGGGUUUGUUUGAGAGCGGGAAACAACAGUAUGGAGUGUAAGGCAGGAAGGUAUUUAAAAAGAUUACCAUCAGCAAGGCCUUUACACGCUGGUUAGAGGACUGUGGUUGGCACGAGAUAAAAGGUCUCUCUCAUGCCAGUUAUAAAAAUAAUUACAUACAUUAUUCAAAAUAUAUUAAAUAAAUUGUAUUCUAGAUCCUUGAGGGGUCUUUUCAUUUCACUUAUAAAUCCAUUAUUACCAGUGACACUGUAUUCUACGUCAUAUUGAAUUUCACGUUCAUUUUUGACCCACUCUAAUUGUUAGAUGAUGUUGACCUUUCUUGCUUAGGACAUGCAGAGAGCAUGUUAUUGGCAGAAAUAAUUUCAUUGAAAGGAUGCCAUAAUCAAAUAAAGACUAAGUAAAGCAGUAAAAAAUAUGGAUUCUGAAUACUGUUCAAAUUUUGUAACUUAAAAUGUAUCAGCGGAGUCGAAGGAUGACGAUGUCGCUCAGUGUUUUCUUCAAGAGAAUGUAUGAAAUUUUAUGGCAAAAUAUGCUGAUAUAUUAAUACAUAUAUACAAACUGAAAUAAAAUCUUUACAGAGAUUUUAGCCUCAUGUCUGGUCCUCUAGCGCCACCCUGAGGACAAGCUGGGUCUGCUUGCAUGGAUUUACACUUUUCAUUUUGCAUUGUUCUUCAGCAGCAACACCACAAUUAAACUAUGUCUUUGUCAUUAUUCUAAAAGCCCAUCAUCACCCCCAAUAUCUCCCAAAGUA